UACAGAGGGGGCAAGCGUUGUUCGGAAUUACUGGGCGUAAAGGGCGCGUAGGCGGCCUGUUAAGUCGAACGUGAAAUCCCCGGGCUCAACCCGGGAACUGCGUCCGAUACUGGCAGGCUUGAAUUCGGGAGAGGGAUGCGGAAUUCCAGGUGUAGCGGUGAAAUGCGUAGAUAUCUGGAGGAACACCGGUGGCGAAGGCGGCUCUCUGGAACGCAACUGACGCUGAGACGCGAAAGCGUGGGGAGCAAACAGG
rnacentral:rRNA from 1 species